rnacentral:misc_RNA from 1 species
CCGAGUUAUCAACUCCCAAACCCCUGUGAACAUACCUGAACGUUGCCUCGGCGGGACCGCCCCGGCGCCCUCAGCGGCCCGGAACCAGGCGCCCGCCGGAGGACCCAAACUCUUGCUUUAAUCAGUGGCAUUCUCUGAGUACAAACAAAAAAUGAAUCA